UUAGGGAGCUUGUGGUGCCUCACGAGUCAAUAGUCAGCAAGGUGUCAAUUGUACCUGGCUUGGCAUCAUCUCAGCUUCUCCAGGACACAGGACCAACUGCAGUGAUUGGUUGUACAUGUACUGAACAGCCAGUAAUUGCAAAAUGUAUGCCAAGUCCUGGUGGACAUGGACAGCAGGGCUGACCUGGUUUUACAGGAGGAUCAAAAUGUGGGUACAGAACUGGAGAAAAAGAUUCAUGGUGAGGAGGGAAGGUCAGGGAAAAAAGGGUAGACAGAAUUAAAUCCAGAGGGACAAGUUUUAGAGAAAGGAGAAAGAGAGCCACAGAACUGCUAGAAUUAGCAGUCCUAAGAAAAGCAGCAUAAGAAGGCGAGGACAGACAAGCAGAGCAUCAGGCACUUCCGUGGUGUGAGUGAAUCAAGUGAAUAGCUGAAUUGGUACGUGCUGGCGCUGAGAAGCAUGUCUCACACAACUUAUGGUGCUCAAAACCCUCAGAUUGCUGCAUCGCAAUCUCCUUCUGAGCCGGUAAAGAAGCCUACCUGCCUGACUUCUCUCAGCUGCGUUGGACAGGACACGUCUCAAGGAUGAAGGACUACCACCUCCCUAAGAUCUUGCUUUAUGGUGAACUUGCCACUGGCUGCUGCAAGAGAGG